rnacentral:rRNA from 1 species
UACGUAGGGUGCAGGCGUUUAAUCGGAAUUACUGGGCGUAAAGCGUGCGCAGGCGGUUUGCUAAGACAGGUGUGAAAAUCCCCCGGGCUUAACCUGGGAACUGCGCUUGUAACUGGCAAGCUUGAGUUGUGGCAGAGGGGGGGGUGGAAUUCCACGUGUAGCAGUGAAAUGCGUAGAGAAUGUGGAGGAACACCGAUGGCGGAAGGGACAGCCCCCCCUGGGCUAACCAC